rnacentral:tRNA from 1 species
ACGGGAGACCUAAUUCAGGUAGGAGACGAAAAAAAAGUAGUCCCAACCAAGAAUCAAUCCCAAAAGGUCGGAGCGAGGCGAAACUGGCUUUCAAACUAGGUUCUGGGUUCAAACAAGACCUGAAUCAGGAACAAGGGCUAUUAGCUCAGGUGGUUAGAGCGCACCCCUGAUAAGGGUGAGGUCCCUGGUUCGAGUCCAGGAUGGCCCACCUGCACAGGUGGCAAAAACAAGAGAAGCGAGGAAUCAGCACCUUAUCUUAUCUAUAUAUAAGAGAGAAUGCUGGCUCUGAGUAAAGAGUCCAGAGGAACCUUGAAAACUGCAUAGAGCUAGGUGAAAAAGCCAAAAAAGAAGACCGCAA